rnacentral:lncRNA from 1 species
GAAUUACAUUUUAUAUUUCUAGUUUUAGAUACAAGAGUGGUACAUUUAUACAAAUCAGACGAUCAUACUCAGUAGAUUAUAAGCUUUGUAAUCAUACCUUACAAGAGACCUUUUGCAUGAAGCAUAUCUCAGUUACGUUACAUUCACUUAUUACCAUAUUUUCUCUAAAACUAUCCCAGUUACAUUAUAUUGGCUUAUUAUCAAGUUUUUAUAAAACCAUAUAGACUGCACAACGUCACACCCUUAAUAAUAAAAAUAAGCAGUCCCAUGUUAUGGAACUUCAGAUUUAUGAUCAAUAAUUGGAAUCCCAAACUUCUGGGUCAGUACUUAUGUAAUAAAAAUAUAAACAACUAUCAGAUGCAGGGCCAGAUGUUCAAAAUCUGGCAUCACAUUCUGCACUCCUAAUUGUUUGUAUCUGAUACUUUAACAACACCACACAAAUCUUGUGAUUCUGUCCAAAUAUGGUUCUCUUGCCUUUUCCUCUUGCAAUGUCCCUGGACUCUGUGUAAGGACUCUGAGCCAUAUCUCUCAUUUUUCACAUCCAUGAUCAUCCAAAUAUUUGGCUGUUUAUGAUCACCCUGAGGUUGCUUUCAAGAAUCAGACUGCUCACAUGGAUGCAUCAGUUUCCCAGUUAAUGCUAAAGUUCAUGUUGAGUAUCACUAUUGCACCUGCUUUCUGGUUGUUGCCGAUGUGGUGUUGGUUAUUUCCAGAAUUUUGGCCACUGUGUGAGCCAGAGUCUAACUUGGUGUCCAUGUUCUCAUGCAGCACAUUCUCGUUUUGUUUGUGUGCUGAAUUCCUUUCUUAAUUCAACAGCCAAAUGAAGACACUCCGAAGUAACAAUUUCUUCUUCCUAAUUCCUUUCUAUGUUUGACUUUCCAAGAUGGUAGAAUAUUGGUAUACAUGUGGCUCAAACAUUAGUAUGUCUUCAUGUUUGAUUUCAGACAGUACAGAAACCAAUCCUUCUCCUUUACUUUGGAUGCUAGUCCUGGGCAUGAUGUUAAACUGCAUCCUCCGCUGCCUUGAGGAUAUUUCUUGUUUGUGUGUCCUCCAGGAGACAUUUUCAGUUCCUUUCCUUUUGUCAGUUUAAUAAGAAGUGACAUGAUAAAAACUGGUGGUGAUCAAAAGGCUACAGUAUAUCAGUUUGGCAAGAGAUGGGAUUUUAUGGUAUAUAGUUGUACUUGGCUAUUCAUCAUGUGAUGCUUUCAGUAGAAUUCCCCCUCUCCACCCCACCAAAGAGCAGAAAGAACAGUCUCAAAUAAAGUAAGAUUUAUGUAAGACA